AGAAAGAAAGAAGGAAAGAAAGAAAGAAAGAAAGAAGGAAGGAAGGAAGGAAGAAGGAAGGAAGGAAGGAAGAAAGAAAAAGAAAGAUCAUGUAAAAAAAAAUUAAGACAUAUUUUGCUAAAGCACUAUGGAGUCAGCAUCCCCACAGCAGGUCACUUCAAGCCCAUUUCCUUUGUAAAACAUCCUCGAUAUCAUGCUUUAUCAUGUCCUCCUUUUUUAUCUUUUAAAAUAUAUUUUUGUAUUUUUCCCCUAAAAAUAAAAUGAUGUUGCAGGCAACCUUUCUGGGUGGUCUACCCGUGAGACAAGAGUUGCCAGGUCUCCUCUGACAGAUGGGUCAUGGCAAGGUCAGUCCCCAUGUUGGACACCCAGGAGGGAGGCUGCGUGAACUACACCAGGAGGGGACACACCAGGGACAUAGGUGCUCGAGUGUCACAGCUGGCUAUGGGCAGGAACCAACGGAAGGGCUCAGAAUUUAACAUAGAGUAAGGCAAAGAUGAGGUCAGAUGAAAAGUCUCCUGACUCCCAAAUUCUACCAUGAUAGCUUUGAAAAUUUCUGUGAUAUUGGAGGAAGAGCCUUCAAAAGUAAGGUCCCCAGUGAACAGGUGACACCAAAAGCUUGAUCAUGUUUAUGGCUCACUACCUGGAGUUUUCAUCCUAUAAGAGUUUAAUGAAGACAGUAUCUCCAGAAGACAAAUGUUUGCCCAUUCAUUGUGUUUAACAAGAAGGGAUUAGUGGAAUAGUCAGUAUACUGGAAGGUAUCUUUGUCAUAUCAACAUGAUGGAGAUGCCUAGAGCAGGUCCCAAAGGGGUGGGACACAGGAAAGAGAAGUGAGCAUAGUGGGAGCUAGUGGCAAGAAGUAUUCUGCAGCCCUGGAUAUCCUAAGGAGUGGGAGAGAACUAGAUGCCAAGGAGAGUGAGCUUUGGAAGUAUUUUUUCUUUUUUCCCAAUAAUCUUCCUUUUCUUUUCCCCUGUCCCCCUUCCUCCCUCCCUCUCUCCUCCUCUCCUUCCUCCCUCCCCUUCAUAUACAUUUAUUGAACACUUGCUAUCUGCCAAUCACUGUUUUAGGCUUUGGCAGUCACUGGUGAACAAAAUCAGCACAGUCCUCACCCUUGGGAAACUUAAGAGUCUUACAGGGGAAGACAGACAGUAAAUAAAUAUUCUCAAAAAUAUAUACCAAUGCAUUACACUAAGUACUGUGGAACGGAAGCAGAAGGGGCUACAGGAUAUUACGUGAGUAACGCUGGCUUAGAUGGGGGGGGGGGGUCAGGGAGUACUUCUCUCAGGAAGUGACAUUUAAGCUUAUGGCUGAAGGAAAAGGAGAACCUGGGUCAAGAAACUGUUUGUGUGUUGGGGGAGGGGCAGAAUUACAGCCACGGGAAGAAAAGAAAUAAUAACAAUGAUAGCAAUGACAACAACAAUAGAUAAAGCAAUAUUGAGCAGUUACAUGCCGGUCAUUAUUCUAAAUAUUUAAUAACCAUUUAUUCAUUUAACCCCUUACAUCAACUUUCUGAGGCAAUUACUGUUACUGUCCCUAUUUUUCAGAUAUGGAAAAUGAGGCACAAAGUAGUGAAGUAACUUGCCCAGCCAAGGUCAUACAGCUAGAAGGUAGAGACACCUGGAUAAAAGUCAGAUAAUCUGUCUGCAGGAAAGGAAGGCCUGGAGAAGGGAGAUGAAGGAAAGGCAGAGGGCUGAGAUGCAGCAGUGGCAGGGGUGGAGGGGGAGGGCAUCCCAGGCGCUCAGGGGCCAUGUGAUGGGUUCUGAAAUUUUUCCUUAAUUCCAUAGUGGAAACCCAUUGCAGAGUUUUAGGGGAAGAGAUCUGCACUUUCCCACACCCUCUCUGGUUCCAGUGGGAGAGCAACCUGGAGCAUGAGAGCAGUCGGGAGAAGACCAGUUGGGAGAAUCCAGUAGUAAUCCAGGUGGGAGGACAGCCCUCUGCAGGAAAUAAACAACUAAAUAACUAGCCACCUAGCUGAACUUCUUAACGCCUUCCUUCCCUUCUGUUCUUUCUUCCCCUCGUUCGCUCUGUCUCUGCUGCUCUUUCUGAACCACCCCUCCCCCCUUCUUUGAGCAGAAGGUAGAGGACACAGUAAUAAGACUCCCUCCCUCCCCACACGCACACCCUGCUGUUUGCCAAGCCACAGGCAGGCUUUGGCAUUCCUCCAUCUUCUCCAGGGCACCCUUCCUGCUUCCCGAUCAGGAGCAUCCUCUUCCGUGCCUGCACGCUGAGAGGGAGCAGCUGCCCGUAUCCAGAACAACUCCCAGCUGUUCUCCCAACUUUUCUCAAGUGUUUCUUGGUGUCAAUGCCUCUAAUUAGUUAAAAUAGGAAGGGGGGGUGGUAAACAGAGGAGCAAAAGAGAGGCCUAAUUUUAGCUGUAGCCAAAAGAACUUCCCCCUAAAUACACUGUGAGCUCAAAAUAUUUAGCUAAGCUCAUACGGACCAGGCAGGGAUAGGAUUUAAAGAGCUACAGAAGGAACAUUCAAAGGCCAAAUGGGACAGCCCCCAUCUUCCCUGACGACUGGAGGGAAGAGGAAGGGAAUAAAAACAGACUGGGUCCUUACUCUGUGCCAGGCUCUGUGCCGGGUGCCGUGAGGGCAUCACCUCAGCCUUUCAUCUCCUCACAGCCAGAGGAUGAUGCAGGGACUAGGUUUCCCUCAUUGUACAGCUGAGGAAACUGAGACCUGGAAAAUUUGAAAUUACUCUAAGAUGACAAAGCGAGCCGGAGAGCCAGGAUUUAAACGUGGGUCUCUCUGACUCCACUGUGUCUAGCAAGAAGAAGAUGGGGUCUCGAACCGAGGCCAGACAGUGCACUGGGUAGACAGCUUAAGCAUAGAUUCAGGGCAGAGCCUCUGAGCAAGAACCCAGAGGAUGCUGGCUCUCAGAAUGGCAAGAGGCAUCAUUUGUAAGAACUGGCACAAAUCACUCAGGGCCUCGACUUUUUCCAAUCCUGAAAUCCCUCCCAGCCCUCCCAAGAUAUGCCGGAGGAAUGACCAGGCUGUCACUAACAAUUUAAAGGUAGAUAAAUCAUUUGGUGAAUGCCCCCCACCCCUGAUUCCAGCAAAAAAAAGAGCCCUGCUGCCCACAAUCAAAAAAGAUGCACUGUUUGGCAAAGGCAUCUGAACUGGCUAAUCCCCCCCGCCUUCUCAAGGUUAUGGUGGAAUCUGGGCGCCUUCAGAAAACGGGCCACCUGGUAGGACUCAUCACGUCAACUUCCUUCAUCUCAGUUCAAGCUUAAAAGGCCUCUUCACUGGGAAGCUCCCCAGUGAGGUUUUUCACGCACAUCUGGAGACUUCCCACAAUAGGCCUUUGAAGCGGCCUGAAGUAUUCCAGGAAGUCUGCCUCACUGGGCUGAGGUUUAAAGAGCAGAAACUCACAUUUAUUUUUCUUUCCCGCCUUCUUUGACAAAACUCCCCCCAGUGGUUUGUGGGCAUUUGCAAAGCAGCCCUGAUUUGCAACUCACUACUUCUAGGGCUGCAGUCUUAAAGAGAAACAACAAUGAAGCAAAUUCAAAGGGAGCACUGGUACCAGAAAGAUCUGUUUAUGUGUUUGGCUCCUCCACCAGGCUCUGAAUUCAUGCUUUAGUCAUCUUUGUAGCAGGAAGAAAGUGGACUCUGGACUCAAAGGGACUUGCUUCAUUACUCAGCAUUGGUGACAUUCUGUCGAAUCACUUAAAACUCUCUGAUCUGUGAAAUGAGUUAAUGGUGCCUGCCUUAUGUGGAGCACUAAACGUUACAUGAGGUGGGGGAGAAAAUCACUUUGCACAUUGUCCGACAUGGACUUCAUCGGAUCUAUGCUGUCCCUCUGCCAGGAUCACCCUCCGUCGUAUGGGCUAGAAGCUAUUCAUUCUUUACAAGUCAACUCACAUGGUGGUUUCCUCCUCUGGUGGUUUCCUCCUCCCUCUUGCUUAGGUUAGUUUAGGUAGGUGUCUUCUAUGCUUCAGUACCUCCCUAUCCUCUAAUCCGUAGUUUAUUGUUAUUUCCAUUUAAGGUAUAUGCCCACCAUACCCCCUACCGCCACUGUUAUAAUGACUGUAGACACAUGGGAUCUUCCUUUUUCACUGUUGUUAUCUCCAUACCAAGCACAGUGCCUAGUAUAUUGAUGUGCUCAGUGAGUAUCAACUGAUUAAUCAAUGCAUUUAACAAAUAUUUAUUAAGCACCAACUCUGAGUCAGGUACUAUUUUAGCUACUGAAGAUACACCAGUGAAUAAAACAGACAUAGCUCCUGCUUUCAUCAGUUUACAUCCUUGUAAGAGUAUCAGGAAAUACACUAAGGAAAUACACAGAGAGACUUCCAGUUACAGCUCAACUGUGUAAAGGAGUUAGAAGUCAUUACCCCCAUUCCUAUAACAAGAAGAGAGCUAACAAACUGAAAAUCACUGAUCUGUCUUGGAUUGCUUGGAGAACUGAGGUUACAGAGCAAACCACGACCCUGAGAUCUGGAGAAACAGGAUAAUUCUAGAGAGCUGCAGUUGAGAUCUUCUUACCUAGAGUAGAAGCCACUGGAGCCACAAACUGGUAGGGACAUUUAACUGAUAAUUUUGAUAAAGUGCUGGGGGCUGAGCGUGGACUAGCAUGAGACUGAGAAACUUCUGGGGCUUCAGUCUACUGGGAGGCCCACCCUUUCAUGGGUUUUACCUCCAGGAAGCCUACCAGAUUCUCACUGUAAAGAGGCAAGAAUGAUCCCCUACUGGCUCCAGCAGGAGUGAAAAAGAGGAAACACUGUGAAAAUAUGCCAGAGAGUUCUUUAUAACAAAGGCCUACUUUUAAGGGGAAAAGGCUUAACCAGAGCCUUACCCCACCCAGGGGAAGGACACCCCUCCAACUCUAGCUCCUUCCAGUCUCCCUUUCUCACCUACAAGGGAGGAAAAAAGGUAAGAAACAUUUGUGAAGGUCACAACCCAAGGACAUAGGCCCAGGAUUCAAUCAAAAGAUUCUAGGCUGUUUCCCUUCCCUACACCUUAAAAUGAUACAAACAGGGCUCCAGUGUAGUAAUAGUGGAUGACAACUGAAAGAGCUACAAGAUGCAGGCUCUAUUUAAGGAGGAGUUCUUGUGGAAGCCCAAAGACAGGGAAGCAAUUUAAGCCUAAAUUAAGCAAAGAAAAAAAGAAAAAAAAGAAGGAAAAAAAACUAAAUAAUAAAAAGCACAAAUCAGUGAAAUUGAACACAGGAAAACAAUACAGAAAAAAUCAAUGAAACUGAUUUUUCAUUGAACAAAUUGAACAAUGUAUAAAAAGAACUACACAUCACAACCAAAUAGAAUUUAUUCUCGGUAUGCAAGGCUGGUUCAACAUUUAUAAAAAUCAAUCCGUGUAAUUCACCACAUAAACAGGUUAAAGAAUAAAAUUCAUAUAAUCAUAUUAAUAGAUGCAGAAAAAGCAUUUGAUAAACUCCAACACCUACUCAUGAUUAAAAACUCUCAGCAAACUUGGAAUAUAUGGGACCAUCCUCAAUUUGAUAAAGAACAUCUACAAAAAAACUCUACAACCUCAAUUUGAUAAAGAACAUUUACAAAAAACUCUACAGCUAAUAUCAUACUUAAUGAGAAAAAACUGAAUGCUUUCCCCCUAAAGACUGGGAACAAGGCAAGGAUGUCCUUUCUUACCACUCUUAUUCAAGAUUGUAUUGCUCUUAGCUGGUGCAAUAAGACAAGAAAAACAGAUAAAAAAGCAUACAGAUUGAGAAGGACGAAAUAAAACUACCUUUAUUCUUAGAUGACAUGGCUAUCUAUGUAGGAAACCUCAAAGAAUAAAAAAAAAUAAAACACCUUUUUAAACUAGUAAGGGAACAUAGUAAAGUCACAAGAUACAAGGUUAAUAUAUAAAGUCAAUUACAUCCCACCAAUUACUAGCAAUGAAAAAUUGGAGUCUGAAGUUAAAAUCAUUUACAAUAGCAUACUGUAAAAAACCAAAGUCCUUGGGUAUAAGUUUAACACAAAAUGCAUAGAAUCUAUACAUGGAAAAGUACAUAACUCUAAUGAAAGAAAAAGAAUAUUUAAGUAAAUGGAGAGAUAUUCUAUAUUCAUGGAUUGGAAGAUUCAAUAUUGUUAAGAUGACAAAUUUCCCCAACCUGAUCAAUAGAUUCAACACAGUCCCAACUGAACACUCAGCAAGCUAUCCAUAAACAAAACAAAAUGAUUCUAAGACUUAUAUGGAAAGGCAAAAUACUUAUUAGUCACUAUAAUACUAAGGGAGAACAAAGUUAGAGGAUGGACAUAACCUGACUUCAUGACUUACUAUAAAGCUACAAUAAUCACAAUAAUGUGGUAUUGGUGAAAGAACAGACAAAUAGAUCAAUGGAACAGAAGAGUAAGCCCAUAAGUAGACCCACACAAACACAUUCAAAUUGAUCUUUGACAAAGGAGCAAAGUCGAUUAACAGGAUAAAGGGUAGUGUUUUCAACAAAUGGUGUUGAAAAAACUGGACACACACGUGCAAAAAAAAAAAAUCUAGAUACUGACAUUACACCUUUCACAAAACUUAACUCAAAAUGGAUCAUAAACCUAAAUGUAAAAUGUAAAACUGUAAAGUUCUAGAAGAUAACACAGGAGAAAAUCAAGGUGACCUUAGGUUUAAUGACGAGUUUUUAGCUACAACAUCAAAAGAACAAUCCAUGAAAGAAAAAAAUGAUAAGCUGGAUCAUUAAAAUUUAAAAACUGCUCUGUGAUAGACAAUUUUAAGAGAAUGAAGAGACAAGCCACAGACUUGGAGAAAAUAUUUGUAAAACAUAUAUCUGAGAACUUAUAUCCAAAAUAUACAAAGAACACUUAAAAUUCAACAAUAAUAAAGCAAGCAACCCAGUGAAAAUAUGAGCAAAAGAUAUGAACUUCACCAAAGAAGACAGACUGGUGGCAAAUAAUCAUAUGAAAAGAUACUCAACAUCAUUUGCCGUCAGGGAAUUACAAAUUAAAACAGUAAUGAUAUUCCACUACAUAACUAUUAGAAUAGACAAAAUCUGCAAAACUGACAAUGUCAACACUGACGUAGAUGUGGAGUAAUGGGAACUCUCAUUCUUUGCUGGUGGAAAUGCAAAAUAAUACAGCUACUUUGGAAGACAGUUUGGUAGUUUAUAACACAUCUAAACAUGGUCUUAAUAUACAACCCAGCAAUUGUGUUCCUAGGUAUUUACCCAACUGAUUUGAAGACUUAAGAACACACAAAAACCUGUAUGCAAAUGUUUAUUCAUAGUCACCCAAAACCAGUGGCAACCAGAUGUCCUCCAGUGGGUGAAUGGAUAAACAAACUGGUACAACUAUAUAAUUGAAUAUUAUUACACAAUAAAAAGAAAUGAACUACCAAGUCACAAUAAGACGUGGAUGAAUCUUAAAUGCAUAUUACUAAGUGAGAGAAACCAGUCUGAAAAGGUUACCUAUUCAUGAUCCCAAUUACGUGACAUUCUGGAAAAGGGAAAACUACUAGGGUAAUGAAAAGAUCUGUAGUUGCCAAGGGCUCAGGGAGAAGGGAGGGAUGAUUAAAUAGGUGAAGCACAGGGGAUUUUUUUGGGGGGUGCUGAAAUUAUUCUAUAUGAUACUGUAAUUGUGUAUAUACAACAUUAUGCAUUUGUCAAAACCACUGAAUGUUACAGCACAAAGACUGAACCUUAAUGUGUAUACAUAUACAGAUACAUUAUGUCAGAUGGCGAUAAGUACUAAGGAAACAAAAUCAAGCAGGAUAAGGGAUAAAGAAUGACAGGAGUAGACAAGGCAGUUUGUAUAGGGUGGCAGGAAUGGCAUCUCUCUGAUAAAAUGAUAGUUGAGCAAAGAUCUGAAGGGGAUGAGAGGAUGAAUCAUGCAAAUAUCUAAGGAAGAGGAUUCCAUGGAGAGGGAACUGUACGUCUAAAAGCCCAGAGGUGGGAGUGUGUUUAGUAUAUGGACAGAGAGUGAAAGGGCCAGGAUAGAUGGAGCGGCCUGGGCACGAGGCGAAGAGCCAGGCCGGGCGGGCCUUCUAGGCAACAGUGAGGACCAAAUAAAUGAAUCAAUAAGUGAGAUGAAUGGAAACUGUUCAUCUUGAAAUUUAUUUUAGGUACUCCAGCCUUUCAAAAAAAAUUUAAAUGAAGAGUCAUCCUUUGCAAUACACCUCCCUCCCCCAAGCAUACACAAACAUUUUAUCAUAACAAUACCAAAAUCUCUUAGCCUGCGAUUGCUCCAACAAGACCCUCUAGUCCCGCCGAAGCAGUCUAAGGCAUGUCAUCUCCUUUCCAAAACAAAAUUUCAGACUAGUUUCUAGAAAGGCAAAGUGAAAUGAAGGCUUGAGGCCAACUUUUCACAUAAUUCGAUUUAAAAAAAAAAAACAAAACUCACAUAUGCCUGAAAUCUUUAGAUAAUGGAGAGAAAAGUGGAUUUUCCUCUCUUCGUUAUUAGAGCAAUUGGCUCAAACUCUCAUUUCAUUUUGGACAUAUAGGCACAACCCAGAGUCUGUAAUUAGUUUCAAACCACCAAAGUAGAAACAGAAUAAAAUUUCAACUAACUGAAGGACCUUUUUUCCCUUGACAUACUUGGCUUUCAAUGGCUAGAGGCAUAAGGCAUGGAUCCAAAAAGCAAGCUUAUGACUGGGACUGAUUUAAAAAAAACAAAAUAACUUGCAAAGUAUGCCUUGGGUGAGUCCAGUAUAAGCUCCUUACCUGCUGCCUUCUCCCUCUCUAGUUCUAGUCCCAUGUAAGGAGAGAAGAUAUCCUGAAGGAUGACGAAAUCCCCAAUCAUUGGAGGGCAGUCCCCACCAGGCUCAUCACUGGAAUGCUAAGAUAGGCGCAGAGCUCUCACCUCUUUCAGAGGUUGGAAGUUCCUUCCUCCGGGAAACUUUUCCUGACCCACUCAGUUGGAUAAGAAGCCCCUCCCUUGGUACCAUGCCACCCUGGGAUCUCCAUCUGUUCGCUGUCACACUGCAUUGCUACCGCUAGGCAAUUUCUCCCUCACCUCAAUAGGCACGCAAGAGCUCCGAGAGGGUAAGAGUGGGAAAUACAUGGAUCUUGCUGUUGCUUCUCCA